rnacentral:tRNA from 1 species
UUAAUUGAAGCCAAAAAGAGGCUUAUCACUGUUAAUGAUAGAACUGAGUAAUAACUCCAAUUAAA